rnacentral:lncRNA from 1 species
AUGGGGUGGCGAGGGCGGUUAGGGCCUCCCGGGCCUCCGCGGACGCUCCUCCGGAAAUGCGAUGGGGCAGGCGGGCCGGCCCUCCUCCCUCCGGGGACGUGGCGCCCUGCGGGGCGGGGGUGGGCGCGCCCCCGCUUCCGGUUGGGUGACUUCAUUUCCGGGGUGGGUGGGGCGGGCUCGGAGCUGGGGCCGAGGCCAAGGCCGAGGCCCGGGGCUGCCUGGCACACGUGGCCUGUCCUCUGUGCCUGCUUCUCUCCGAGCCCGCUUCCCCCCGCACCGUCUGCGGCUUGCGGGUGGCGGCGGCCCCUCCCCUCCGGGGCUGCGCCCGAAUUGGUACCGGACGCUGGGACCAAGCAGAAGAACAAGAAGGCCUAGACAGUGGGAGUCAAGUGACUUGCCCAGGGUCACCCAGCCGGGAAGCUUCUAAGGUCAGAUCCAGAACAGGUCUGGGUAUCGGCUGUGUUUCUGCUGAACCCGUCCCACGUGCCCAGCUACCUGUUGGACAGCUCCAGCCGGAUGGGUCUGAGCUCAGCGGGCAGGGCCGGCCGCUCUUGGGUCACCCCAGAAGUCAGGACCUCCCUCUAGACCCGGGACUUCAUCUGUCUGUGGAACUCUUGGACAGGAAGCCCUCCCCCCACCGCUGCCGAGCAGAGGCCUGGAGAAGGCCCAGCUCUUGGAAAGCCACCGGCGCCAGCUCUGGGGUCCCACUGUCACUGGUCUUGCUGGACGUUCCCAAUUCCCACUGAAGCGGGCCCCAAGCACUGGGGGGUUUGCAGAGCCGCUGGAAGUGGCCUCAGAGUCGACACCUCUGACCCAGGCAGGACGGAGGCCGAGAUGGGCCUUGAGGUGGGCUCUGACCACUUCCCACCCCGCCUCUGCUCCCUCCAGGCCUCUCCCGGGUCCCCACAUGUCAGCCUCGGGAAGUCUGGUAAACCGAGAUCAGCUGUGUGAGGGGCUGGGCAUGGUUUUUGUUCUGUUCUACACCUGCUCGAGGGGUCCUUGACAAGGGGGAAGGGGAGCCGUCUGUAGAGCCGGCCCUCCUCCCUCCUCCCUCCUCCUCUUCCCUGUUGUGAUCGGCCUCAGGGAGGGAAGUGGAAGGUGACGGAGCAGAUCAGCAUCCAGGAACCUAAGAGGGGCCAACUGAUAAGCUCUGGUCGAGGCCAAAGUCCACCACCGGCUUUCCAGGCUCUUCCCCUUCCGGCCUCAGUGCCGAUGUUCACUGAGGCCAGCCUUCAGGAGGCUCGCACACACCCACCACCUUGUCCCUCCCCACACCUGAGCCACCCACAGCGCCAUCCCACCUUUGUUCCCAAGACCGAGCCAGAAGGGCCCCUUCAGAUCCCAGGAGAGACAGCGGGGCGCCUGCAGACAACAU